UUAAAUUCACCCAAACCUAGCGUUAUUCCAUGGAUCAUCUUCACGACAUAGAAGUGGCAGAAGAAGAAGGAGAACAUAUGAGAAGUAUGCAGCAAACGACUCGGCAGUAAAUUCAUAUGGAGCACUCAUUUGAGCAAGAAUGCACAACUGAUAUUAAUAGGCGAAGGUUCCCAUCUGCAGCCCCGCGAAGAAACCUCAACCACGAAGUUUCACGAGGGGCGGCGGAGGCGUAUUUUGGUCUUCAACUGUCAGUAGGCUAGCCGUGACUAUGAGGAGGAUAUCGCCCCACCAACCCCCCGCAUCAACCACCACACCAUAAUCCCUACUCUCUUUUGUCCAACGCAGUGAUUGCUAAUAAUAAGGAUUUAAAAGAGCAUUUCAUAUCAAGAAGAUCAAGAUAAAGUCCGAUGAUGUUAAUCUUGUUAUGGAGGCCAUUGUUGAUCCUUGGCCAUGCUUCACGCAAAGAAGAAACAUAUUUAGUCCUGAGUUAAUUAUGGUGUAUGGAUGUCCAUUCCAAUCUAAUCAAAGCUUUUUGCGACAAACAAUUGAAACCAUAUGGUUGUGUGAUUGAUUUUUCGGCAUUACCCUAAACCCAUUUUCCAUUGGGAUCAAAUUUGGUGUUGGAGAAAUUUUUAUGGGUGCCUAUAACUCACAUGUUAUAAUUUGAGCAGAAUAAUAACGUCACGUGAUUGUGUUCUAGAUGCACUAAAAAAUUACUCAUAAAUUUAAUAUCCUGACAUUACUCUAAAAUAAAUCUUACUUCAUAGUUUAUAUCUCUCCCACACACAUAAAUUUACCAUCUUACCACCUCUUUUCUUCGAUGCUUCACAAAACUCCCAAGUUCCUAUCUUUCAAUAUAAUCCAUCUCUGAAAUGCAAACCAGGGUAGGCCAAACACCCCUAGAGUUCAAGCACUACUACUCCUCCUCCUCCUCCUCUUCAUAGGGUUGCAAAAUAGGUGGUGGCGAUUAGCGCCACAUGGCAGCGCCAAUCGCCAAUAAGCAUCGGAGGCUGCCAAGCUCAGCAGAGACCGAGGUUGCUUCACCAUAUGAAAGUGAUUCGAACACAGAACUUCGCGUGUACGGAGCGUCGGGAAUUAAUAUAACAAAGUCUCGUGGCCGCAUUAUGGGCUGUAUUGGCACCCGCACUAUCACCCACCAUGAAGAUUCUGGAAAAGUUGCAUUUCCUUGACCACCAUGCAUUAUUAAUUGUAUCUUUUUUGUUUUUUUUUAGGCAAGAUCAAGCUUACCAAUUUUUGUCCUUUUGUGCUUCUGUCCAAUUUGUAGCAAAAAUGUUGCUAAACAUGAACAAAUACUUGACCAUCCAAAUAUAAGCACGUACCAUAGCAAAUCGAUGCUCUUAAUUGAUCUUUACCUUCGUUUACGUUAAAAAUUCUAUGAAUAUGGC